UUGACCUCAAAUCAGGUAGGACUACCCGCUGAACUUAAGCAUAUCAAUAAGCGGAGGAAAAGAAACUAACAAGGAUUCCCCUAGUAACUGCGAGUGAAGCGGGAAGAGCUCAAAUUUAAAAUCUGGUGGUUCUUGACCAUCCGAGUUGUAAUCUAGAGAAGUGUUUACCUGUGCUGGACCGUGUAAAAGUCUUCUGGAAUGGAGCAUCACAGAGGGUGAGAAUCCCGUCUUUGACAUGGACUACCAGUGCGUCGUGGUGCGCUCUCGAAGAGUCGAGUUGUUUGGGAAUGCAGCUCAAAAUGGGUGGUAAAUGCCAUCUAAAGCUAAAUAUUGGCGAGAGACCGAUAGCGAACAAGUACCGUGAGGGAAAGAUGAAAAGAACUUUGGAAAGAGAGUUAAACAGUACGUGAAAUUGCUGAAAGGGAAACGCUUGAAGUCAGWCGCGUUGGCUAGAAAUCAGCCUUGCUUUUGCUUGGUGUACUUUCUUGUUGACGGGUCAGCAUCGGUUUUGAACACUGGAUAAAGUCUUUGGGAAUGUGGCAUCUUUUUUUUGAUGUGUUAUAGCCCAUUGUCGCAUACAGUGGUUGGGACCGAGGAACUCAGCACGCCGCAAGGCCGGGUCUCUGGACCACGCUCGUGCUUAGGAUGCUGGCAUAAUGGCUUUAAUCGACCCGUC
rnacentral:rRNA from 1 species